rnacentral:misc_RNA from 1 species
GGAGGACAUAAGAAUCAACAAGACAAACUAAAGUUGAUCCAAUUUAAGGAAGAUUUGGCUGAACCUCUUAUUUGGUACAGCAUGUCAAAUAAACAUGGAGUUUAUUCAAAGGAAAUAAAAAAUUUAACAUAUUAAAUCGUCUCUAAAUCAGGGGUGAACCUCUGAAAGAAGAAGGUUGAAAUUAUUGAUUAUUACUUUGAGCAAUGAUAGGGAAAAUUUAUUUAUUUUUCCUUCUUUAGUCAGACUAUUGUCUUAACCAUAUCUGAUAAUCUGAUCCUUUAUCAAGAAACUUUUGCCAGCUUCCAUCCAUAUUAUUUUCCUUUGAGGGAUUCCAAUCAAAAUGCCCAAGCUUCAUGGCUAGUGUAUCACCAAUCUGUGCAACAUAACCUUCAUUGUUUGCAUGGUAUAUCUUGACUGAGCUGCGGCAGUGGAUACCAGCCUGCCUUCGAGCCUCAACCAGCUCAGUGAUGAUAUCUCGGAUACCAAAAUCAUAGAAAUGGUCGUAAAAUAUCGUUGGCGUUCCAGGAUGGGUCAAAAUAUAUGCAUAUCCUUGCGUCAGUUUAUCUCGUGGAAAUGGCCAAUGACCCUGUGUUGAUCCUGUAUCAUGGUUCUCUAAAAAUGUGACAGCACGUGAAGGCCACCAUCCCAUCACUCCUGUUGGUUUUCCUAGAGGAUCUAUUAACCUCCAAUAUUCAUUAUGCAGAGCAGAGUGGAGUAUCCCCUUUGUUGUGACAUCAAAUGCUGAGGAAGUACCACCUGUGGCAUUGAUCCAAUUGACUAUCCUUUGCCGAUGAGCAUCUUGAUUGUAACACAGGCUACCAUGUUCAUAAGAUAAACUAUCCCAAUAUUCUCCAAUAGCAAAUGCAGGAUUUGAAGCUUCAAUAUAUUCCUUAAAAUAUGUUCCAGAAAAACCUCUUACAAAGUCGAGGCGCCACCCAUCAAAACCAAUAUCAUUUCGAAGCCAAUUUAGCCACACCUUUAUGUCCCUUUGUACAAAGUCUUGAGAAUGAUCAAUGUUUGGAGCUGCAUGGAAGAUAUCACCUGCAUAGAGUAUGGAUACUCUCUUUAUCUACAAUAGUAAUUAUAUUAUCAAAGAAGAGAAUGAUCAAGUGAAAAAGGUACUGAUUUUGAUAGGAAAAUGGUGUGAGGACAUGAAGCUGAAUUUUGUGUGUUCAUUGAAGGAGCUGUAAUUUUACAUAUUUGCUUUGGAAAUAAAAUUUUUGGAUGAACUGCAGGCCUUCUCCAACAGAAGAGUGUGAAAUUGUAAUUACAGACUUCACUGUAUAAAUAAAAAUGCAGAAAAAAGAACUGUAUCAUCAUAUUACAUAAUAAUCAUUCUAAAAUGCAUCUCCCAUCAAAAAUCACUUUUUACAGUCCACAUACCACUUGAAGGAUUUCCACGACCCUGGAAAUUGGGAUCAUCACAAACAAUUGCUUCUGGCCCCCAUGCAAGCUUUCCACCAAAAAUAUUCCAAACACCAUUUGGACUCUGUUUAUGUGCACAUCGAUGAUUUAGUACAACAUCUCCCAAGGCGAGAAGAUCAUGAGAAUGCAUUUCCUCUAUACAGUAUUUCAGUUCUUCCACAGAACCAUAUGCUGAGUUCAAGUUGUAGAGAUCCGAAGGCAUAUAACCUUGAGGAGCAACAGAUUCUGUGGGCGGAGGGAACCACACUGCCGUUACCCCACAUUGAGAUAAAUCAGCAGCUUUAGGAGCUAACUCCAUAUACCACCGUCUUCUCCAGCUUUCCCAGUUGAAACCUUGAAACACAAUCUCUCGCCCUGUUCCAGUUCCUGGUUCUAAUUUUGUACAUUCUGGGGUCCUCUGCCAUUUUAUGGUCUUCCGUUGAAGAGUCUGUUCUAAGGCCUUUCUCUUCUUCUCUAUCGUUUCUUUCUCAAUUACAUGCUCAACGAGUGUAUCCCCUUCCUUGGGCUUUUCUUGAGCAACUGACCAUACUUCAUCAGGUUUGGGUAAAUCCAGAUGUCUUAGUUUUGAUGUUAAUGCUUCAGAUACAUCAACCUUUCUUGGUGGGAACUUGGGACAGAUGGUCCGGAUCCUUCUCGCCAUCCAUCCAGGUUGCUCUCUACGAGGACCAUCACUCAAAAGUUUCCAUUUUUGUGAAUCAUCAUCUGUCAUAAGAUCUAUGCGCCCACCAUUGACAAUAAAUAUGGCAUCUUCAUCCUUUUCAUCCUUUAAAAAUAGUGACUCAGCCAUUUCUGCUCUUUGCCUCCAUGCCUUUAAAGCCACUUCGGAGGCCCUUAAUGAUCUCUGUAAUGAUUCACAUCUCCUCAUGUAGGCAUUUUCCCUUGAGCAUGCUGUUUCUUUAGCAGCAUCAAUGGCAGCUUUGAUGCUUUCCAGCUCAACCUUAAAAGCCUUGGACGCAGCCUUCUUCUUUUCUACAGCAUCCUUCUUUAUUUUCUCUAGAAAAGAGCUAACUUCCUCCUCUCUCACGAGAUUCAUUUUCCUGUUUGACUCCUGAAAUUCAAGCAAUGCUUUCUCAGCAUCAUGAGCUCGGAGUUCAGAGGCAUUUGCUUUUGCAUGGACAUGGUCCAACUCAAUCUUCAACUUAUCAACCUCACUUCUCUUAAUCAACAGCUGAGAUUCUAAAUCAUUUACAACACCUCGUAAACUAAUAUUUUCUGAUUUGAUGGAAGCAAUCUCAUCAACUGGAUUAAAACCAUCAGUAAAGAUUGCCACAGCUUUUUUUGCAUAGUCACCAGCAUUUUCUGCCAUGUCCAGGGCCCUCUGUAUAGCAUCUUUUGACUGUUCAACAACUGACAAUAUGGUACCUUCAGUUGCAUUCCUAAUUUGUUCUUCAAUCUGAAAAGCUGCUUCAGCAGCAGAAGUUUCAGCAGCUAAUACCCUCACAUGGGCAUCUUCUAGUAUGUGAGAUGUUGCUUGCUGAAAAGCAAUCUCUGCUAACCUUUCAACUUGUACUGCAAGUUCAAUAGCAUCUUGUUUUGCAAGGACCAGCUUAGAUUCCAAACUGAACUUCUCUAAUGCCAUCUCCUGCAGCUUCCGAUGAAACAGUGAUUUAGUGGCCUCCAACUCUGCAAUAGCCAAUUCCUUGUCAUGCAAUAUAGUAGCCACAUGCUCCUGUUGUUUAGCCUCUGAUCGAGCCAACUCUUCAAGCAACUGAUCUCUUUCUUUCUCCAUAGCUUCCUGUGUGGCUUGAGCCUCAGAAAGAGCUUUCUUAGCUGUCAUUAAUUCAUUUUCUUCAUCCUCCGACACUUCAGCUCCCUUUGAUGAAAGACCAUCUCCAUUGUUGACCAUACUUGUGAAGGUAUCAUUAGAAUCAUCCGUAUUUGAUAAAACAAUGGUUCUUGGCUUGAAUUGCCAAUUGCCACUAUACGAAAAUCUUCUUUUCCUUCUACAGGUGCUCGGAAAGAUUAGAGGAUUCUGCAGGAGACACAAAUUCGAAACAUUCUUGUCAAAUGAGACCGGAGAAACAAGGUGAUAGACAGGGAGGAUCCCAGAAAUGGCUCCCAUUGAGAUUUUUCUGAACCCAACUAUCCAAACGGAUUAAAUUGGUGAAAGAAUCAUCAUGAUUUAGAGUAGCUUCAGCAGUGAUUAAGGAUGUGAUUAAGCUUGGAUUUGCAUUUUAAAGUGAGUAGUUGGAGAUGUAAUUGUCGCGGGCACUCAGGCUAUUUGCAGCUCUCAGGGAAGCACAGA